GCCAGACUCCUACGGGAGGCAGCAGUGGGGAAUAUUGCACAAUGGGGGGAACCCUGAUGCAGCGACGCCGCGUGGGUGAAGGAGCGUUUCGGCGCGUAAAGCCCUAUCGGCAGGGAAGAAGGAGGACGGUACCUGACUAAGAAGCCCCGGCUAACUACGUGCCAGCAGCCGCGGUAAUACGUAGGGGGCAAGCGUUAUCCGGAUUUACUGGGUGUAAAGGGGGCGCAGACGGCAGCGCAAGCCAGGAGUGAAAGCCCGGGGCCCAACCCCGGGACUGCUCUUGGAACUGCGCGGCUGGAGUGCAGGAGGGGCAGGCGGAAUUCCUGGUGUAGCGGUGAAAUGCGUAGAUAUCAGGAGGAACACCGGUGGCGAAGGCGGCCUGCUGGACUGCGACUGACGUUGAGGCCCGAAAGCGUGGGGAGCAAACAGGAUUAGAUACCCCUGUACGG
rnacentral:rRNA from 1 species